UCCCUGUCUAUGCAUCAACAUUAGCUAAUUGAGUCAUAACUUCACAAUAUUUAUUGACAGCUGGAUAGCUAAGCACUGGAUGAAACACCCACGUGGCUCCCUCUUACUGGUAGCCUACUAGAAUACUGAUUCCGCUAGUGUACAGUAAUAGCAGUCACAACAAUUCUCUAAACAGCCAAUCUUAUUUGAGUUAAAGCCGACUAAUUUAAGGAGACUUCUGACGGGUUUGGCAGGUACUCUGGAGAGGUGAGGGUCUGGCUGUUUUCGGGUAGCGGCCACAUCUCCUGCCAGGAGAGACAGGAUCUUCAGGAUGAAGAUCGGUAUCCAGCAAAGAGAGUCAGUGAUGACGAUGGAGAAAAAUCUCUUUGCUAUAGUCACCUCAUUCUUGAUAUGGUUACUGUACUUGGUGGUCUGUGUGCCUGUUCUCUGGAUGUUGUAAAACAUGCUUCCAUAUGACAGCACUAUGAUGAGGAACGCCACCAAGUUAAGACCUGUACGGGAA